AACCUUACCUAGGCUUGACAUAUAGAGAAAUCCCACAGAGAUGUGGAGUCCGUAAGGGCUCUAUACAGGUGGUGCAUGGUUGUCGUCAGCUCGUGUCGUGAGAUGUUGGGUUAAAGUCCCGCAACGAGCGCAACCCUCGUUCUAUGUUGCCAGCGCGUAAUGGCGGGGAUUCAUAGGAGACUGCCGGGGUCAACUCGGAGGAAGGUGGGGAUGACGUCAAUCAUCAUGCCCCUUAUGCCUAGGGCUGCACGCAUGCUACAAUGGCCGAUACAAAGGGCUGCGAUACCGCAAGGUGGAGCGAAUCCCAUAAAGUCGGUCUCAGUUCGGAUUGGGGUCUGCAACUCGACCCCAUGAAGUUGGAGUUGCUAGUAAUCGCAGAUCAGCAACGCUGCGGUGAAUACGUUCCCGGGCCUUGUACACACCGCCCGUCACGUCACGAAAGUC
rnacentral:rRNA from 1 species